rnacentral:rRNA from 1 species
GAUGAACGCUGGCGGCGUGCCUAAUACAUGCAAGUCGAGCGAACGGACGAGGAGCUUGCUUCUUUGACGUUAGCGGCGGACGGGUGAGUAACACGUGGGUAACCUACCUAUAAGACUGGGAUAACUUCGGGAAACCGGAGCUAAUACCGGAUAAUAUUUCGAACCGCAUGGUUCGAUAGUGAAAGAGGGCUCUGCUGUCACUUAUAGAUGGACCUGCGCUGGAUUAGCUAGUUGGUAAGGUAACGGCUUACCAAGGCAACGAUACGUAGCCGACCUGAGAGGGUGAUCGGCCACACUGGAACUGAGACACGGUCCAGACUCCUACGGGAGGCAGCAGUAGGGAAUCUUCCGCAAUGGGCGAAAGCCUGACGGAGCAACGCCGCGUGAGUGAUGAAGGUCUUCGGAUCGUAAAACUCUGUUAUUAGGGAAGAACAGAAGUGUAAGUAACUGUGCACGUCUUGACGGUACCUAAUCAGAAAGCCACGGCUAACUACGUG